UCCAUCAAUCAAGACUGUGUGUGUUUCCUUCCACUUGUUUUUACUCACAUUUACAGUGGAAAUACUGAAAGUUUUUCCGCUUGAGGUGUAAAAAACGUUUCUGCUUCCCUGAAGAGCUGAAAACAUCAGAUCUGAGUGGAGCGAUGAGGAGAUGUAACCUUCCUCAAAUUAAUGUUUUCCCUCAUUUUUGAGCUUUGACUGCUUCUCCAAAUGUUCACAGAACAGCAGUGGAUGGAAACAAGCUUUUAUUUCAGUUGUUUUUUGCUGAUAUUCUGGAAUAUUCUGAUAAAACAGGGUUCAAGAACAGGAACUAUUUUAUGUGGUGUGUCACUUUCUGACAAAAAGCUUGAUAUGUGGUUCAACCUGUUGACUGACUGAAACCAUCUGUCCAUAAAUCAGUCUGAAAUCUUAUAGUUUUCAUGUAUUUGUUAGUUUUUAAAGGUUGUUUUACAGCAUUAUGUUCUGUCUGAUAGAGUCUAACUGUGAUAAAUGACACCUGUUCAGAGUGAAUCCUCUCGCCUUUAGAGGAAACCUGAUGAGAGGUUUUUUUUUCUUAUUUCCACAGGGGAUAUUGGAGUAUUUUGGAGGAGAACAGUUCUUCUGCCUCCUCUGGCAUGUUAAUUGAUGCUUUUCAGUUUUUUGGUGCCUCUGUUCUCUGCUCUCUCUCUCUCUCUCUCUCUCUCUCUCUCUGGGGAGUUGCCUCCUCUCUGUGAUUUGCCGUGGGAGUUUAACAGCGGCUGUGAUCAGACGAGUACAGAUAAGACGACGAGAGCGCACACACACACAACAAUCAGCCUCGCAGGGUGCCGGCUGAUUUGUCGAGGUCUUUUUCCUUUUUUUUUUUUUUUUUUUUUCUCCUUCCUGUUAAAGACGAGCGGAGGAGUCAGGUGAAGGGGCUCAGCGGAGAGAUAAUCUGCAGCGGAGGAUAAAGAAGAAGAGACACUCUCAUUUAAAGAUCACCCAGAGCAGAAAACGAUGACUCGAAUAAUUGAUUUGGAAGAAAUUAAUCAGCAGAUAUUUUGAUAGUUCAUUAAUUGUACUGUUUUUUGGAGCUCAUCAUCAUCAUCAUCAUCAUCAUCUGUGACGGCGGCAUCGUCUAGGCCGCUCGAUGGCGAUGAUUCGCUCCUCGCUGUGUUUCUCCAUGAUGUCGUCAUUCAACAGGAAUUUAACUGGAACUAAACGUCUGGUCCUCACAUAUAAAACAACUCCUGCUUUUUUAAACAUAAUUUCAAGGGGAAAAAAAGUCUUAUGUUUGGGCCAAACGUAGACGAGAACGCCAUCUUGGUCGUACAGAACCACAUUUUAUACAUACAUGCGAGCUCACAGUCCACAGAGAGAGAAGGAUGAAUGGAGGAUAAAAAGCAUCAAUCAGGUCAGAUUAGUAAUCAGCUAAUCUAUUACUGGUACUCAUCCAUAAUUAAAAAAUGUUGAAUGAACUGACCUUGUGAUAGACUCCAUUAGACAUCCCCUAAUCCCUUUAGUACUACUUCAUGAUGUUUUAUUAUAAAGUUUUAAGGCGGUCUGAAAUAAUAAUGUUCUAUUAUUCUCCUUUGACUAAUAUCAUGUAUAGUUUUCAUGUUGUAGAUUAAGAACAGAUUCACGUAAAUGUGAGUUUAUUUGAAUGAAUCCGUGGUGUUGUUGGUGUUCUGUGUGUUGCCGCUGAAAAGUCUUUUCCUCUUCCGCUCGGCUUCAUAUUUUGUAAAAAUGAAACAGAAGGAAACUCGUCUUGACAUGAAAUCCGACUGGCCGGCUGCAGAAAGUGCUGCGAGUAAUGAGCGUCUGCUCGAGGUGUCAAAUAAGAGGAUUACCUCGUUUGUGGGCUUUCAAAAGAUAAGUGGAUAUCUGAGCGCUCAUUCGGCCGCGCCGUCCGAACCCUGACCUUUCACAGACGGAGGAGGAGGACGGAGGAGGGGGGCGGGGCUUCAGGUUGGACUCCCACCCCCUCCUUCUCCUCCUCCUCUUCCUCCUCUUCCUCAGGGAUGAUACGUCCGUCAAGGGAGCUGACAUUUCCGCCAUUUAUGGUCCAAGAAAAACAAACUGCCGCCUCAUUCAUAUGGAAAAGUGCAAUUUUAUUCUAACCUUUCAGCUCGGCCGCUAAUCAAGACGACUCCAGAUUAUCUUCACGUAAUCACCUCGGCAACGGAGGCAGAUGUGUGGAUCCAUCUAAUCUGUCAGAGUGAAAUGAGAUCCAUCACAGAUCUGGAUAAUGGCCCCUGCAGAUUGUGUGCAAAAAUCUGCAUCAAUAAUUCAAGCUCAGAUUUUUAUUAUUCAUGAGCGGGAGAGUGAGAGGAGAGCAGGGCGAGCGCGGGCGAAAGCUCUGAGGCCUGGAUGUAGAUUCAACCGCUGCUUUUAAACCAGCAGCGGAGCAGAGGAUGCACACACACAGGUCCAAAACUCCAAGUGAUGUUAGAAAAGGAAACGUAGGAAAAACAUCUGAACAUGAAUCUUUUAGUUGCAGCAGACUUUAUGGAGAUGAAUCGUCUGGUUUAAAUAUGGAGGGAAUGAGAAUUUUUUAAAAAAAAGGAAUAGAGUGAAAGACUCACACUGUAGAUUGUAAGAUCAGUUUUCUCAACAUCGUAAUCUUUAGCUUCUGCCCGCCGUUAGCAACGCAUGUUACCAAAUUUUAAGCUCAGUGAUUGGCUGUUUCUUGCUGAAAUGCACUUUGGGAGUCGUAGUUAACUUCUAGCCCAGUUUUUCGUAUCCACAGCCUUCUACCUUUGACUUUCUCUAAAGAACCAGAUGUUUUCUAACUGAGAUGUUCAUCUUUUGUACUGAUGAUUAAACCAGGACGGUAUCAUGGUAACUGUGUGAAAUCUGAUAAACUGAAACUGAAGUUUGAAAAGUAAAACAAUCAAUGUGGAUGUGAAGUUGGAAAGAAGUGAGGUUAGCAGACCUCUGUAGCUAAUUGUCUCUGCUGGAGGCAAACAGCUCCAGGCUACAUUAGCCGCUACUAGCAUAACACACCGCAAUCUCUGACUG